rnacentral:tRNA from 1 species
UAUCAGAUAGCUCAACUGGUAGAGCUUUUGAUGCGUAACCAAAAGUUCUGGGUUCGAUUCCCAGUCCGGGCUGUCCGAA